rnacentral:misc_RNA from 1 species
AAGCCGAAAGGCUACUUAACCAUCGCGAAUCUCCAAGUUGCCUCUGUGACAGGCGCGGCUUCCCCUACGGGCGGACCGCAGCCCCGCCUCUCAGGAGGUAAGGGGCAGGCCGCCGGAGGUACCGAAACUCUGUAUUAUAGUGGUAUCUCUGAGUAAAACCAUAAUAAGUC